GUAGGUGGCAAGCGUUGUCCGGAAUUAUUGGGCGUAAAGCGCGCGCAGGCGGUUCUUUAAGUCUGAUGUGAAAGCCCACGGCUCAACCGUGGAGGGUCAUUGGAAACUGGAGAACUUGAGUACAGAAGAGGAAAGCGGAAUUCCACGUGUAGCGGUGAAAUGCGUAGAGAUGUGGAGGAACACCAGUGGCGAAGGCGGCUUUCUGGUCUGUAACUGACGCUGAGGCGCGAAAGCGUGGGGAGCAAACAGGGAUUAGAUACCCUGGUAGUCCACGCCGUAAACGAUGAGUGCUAAGUGUUAGGGGGUUUCCGCCCCCUUAGUGCUGCAGCUAACGCAUUAAGCACUCCGCCGUGGGGAGUACGGCCGCAAGGCUG
rnacentral:rRNA from 1 species